rnacentral:rRNA from 1 species
AGGCGGUUUGUCGCGUCUGCUGUGAAAGCCCGGGGCUUACUCCGGGUGUGCAGUGGGUACGGGCAGACUAGAGUGCAGUAGGGGAGACUGGAAUUCCUGGUGUAGCGGUGAAAUGCGCAGAUAUCAGGAGGAACACCGAUGGCGAAGGCAGGUCUCUGGGCUGUUACUGACGCUGAGGAGCGAAAGCAUGGGGAGCGAACAGGAUUAGAUACCCUGGUAGCCCAUGCCGUAAACGUUGGGCACUAGGUGUGGGGGACAUUCCACGUUUUCCGCGCCGUAGCUAACGCAUUAAGUGCCCCGCCUGGGGAGUACGGCCGCAAGGCUAAAACUCAAAGGAAUUGACGGGGGCCCGCACAAGCGGCGGAGCAUGCGGAUUAAUUCGAUGCAACGCGAAGAACCUUACCAAGGCUUGACAUACACCGGACCGGGCCAGAGAUGGUCUUUCCCUUCAGGGCUGGUGUACAGGUGGUGCAUGGUUGUCGUCAGCUCGUGUCGUGAGAUGUUGGGUUAAGUCCCGCAACGAGCGCAACCCUUAUCCUAUGUUGCCAGCGGGUUAUGCCGGGGACUCAUGGGAGACUGCCGGGGUUAACUCGGAGGAAGGUGGGGAUGAC